UGAUGGUAACUCCUACCCCUACCUCCGCGUGGUAUCGGCUGGAAACAACAAGCAACCUUAGGAAAGAUCGAGUAACCAACUCCGGUGGGAACUUUGGCAUAGACUGACAGGGAACG
rnacentral:ribozyme from 1 species